AGCGGAAUUUUAUUGGUGCUUGCACCUUUAAAAUUUUAGCGGCGGACGGGUGAGUAACACGUGGGUAACCUACCUUAUAGAUUGGGAUAACUCCGGGAAACCGGGGCUAAUACCGAAUAAUACUUUUUAACACAUGUUUGAAAGUUGAAAGACGGUUUCGGCUGUCACUAUAAGAUGGACCCGCGGCGCAUUAGCUAGUUGGUGAGGUAACGGCUCACCAAGGCAACGAUGCGUAGCCGACCUGAGAGGGUGAUCGGCCACACUGGGACUGAGACACGGCCCAGACUCCUACGGGAGGCAGCAGUAGGGAAUCUUCCACAAUGGACGAAAGUCUGAUGGAGCAACGCCGCGUGAGUGAAGAAGGAUUUCGGUUCGUAAAACUCUGUUGCAAGGGAAGAACAAGUAGCGUAGUAACUGGCGCUACCUUGACGGUACCUUGUUAGAAAGCCACGGCUAACUACGUGCCAGCAGCCGCGGUAAUACGUAGGUGGCAAGCGUUGUCCGGAAUUAUUGGGCGUAAAGCGCGCGCAGGUGGUUCCUUAAGUCUGAUGUGAAAGCCCCCGGCUCAACCGGGGAGGGUCAUUGGAAACUGGGGAACUUGAGUGCAGAAGAGGAUAGUGGAAUUCCAAGU
rnacentral:rRNA from 1 species